rfam:Erinaceus europaeus unplaced genomic scaffold scaffold00056, whole genome shotgun sequence
GUACUUACUUCGGCAGCACAUAUACUAAACUGACACAGUAGAGAGAAGGUUAGAAUGGUCCCUGCGCAGGGAUGACACGCAAACCCGUGAAGCAUUCCAUAUCUUU